rnacentral:rRNA from 1 species
UACGUAGGGAGCAAGCGUUGUUCGGAUUUACUGGGCGUAAAGAGCGUGUAGGCGGUCCGGUAAGUCGGCUGUGAAAGUCCAGGGCUCAACCCUGGGAUGCCGGUGGAUACUGUCGGGCUCGAGUCCGGAAGAGGCGAGUGGAAUUCCUGGUGUAGCGGUGAAAUGCGCAGAUAUCAGGAGGAACACCAAUGGCGAAGGCAGCUCGCUGGGACGUGACUGACGCUGAGACGCGAAAGCGUGGGGAGCAAACAGG